rnacentral:rRNA from 1 species
UACGUAAGCAGCAAGCGUUGUUCGGAGUUACUGGGCGUAAAGGGUGCGUAGGCGGUCCUAUAAGUAUGGUGUGAAAUCUCCCGGCUUAACUGGGAGGGUGCGCUAUAGACUGUGGGACUAGAGUGUGGGAGAGGAAAGUGGAAUUCCUGGUGUAGCGGUGAAAUGCGUAGAUAUCAGGAGGAACACCGGUGGUGUAAACGGCUUUCUGGACCAUAACUGACGCUGAGGCACGAAAGCGUGGGUAGCAAACAGG